rnacentral:rRNA from 1 species
CUGAUCAGCCAUGCCGCGUGUGUGAAGAAGGCCUUAUGGUUGUAAAGCUCUUUAAGCGAGGAGGAGGCUCCCGUAGCUAAUAUCUACGGAGAGUGGACGUUACUCGCAGAAUAACCCCCGGCUAACUCUGUGCCAGCAGCCGCGGUAA